rnacentral:misc_RNA from 1 species
UUAAGUUCAGCGGGUAUCCUUGUCUGAUCUGAGGUCAAACCUAAGAGGUGGUAGGUAUUGUUCAGGCCGUACCGCUUCGACCGCGAACCUUGAACAAGCAUGAUUUUACUAUGUUCUGGUCGGGCCGCAGCCAGCAGAGCUUACAACUUUAAAGCCAGCUGGAUCCUGAGACCCUGCUUGCUCAAAACCGGUGGUGACCG